rnacentral:rRNA from 1 species
UACAGAGAUCUCAAGCGUUGUUCGGAUUCAUUGGGCGUAAAGAGUGCGUAGGCGGCGCGGUAAGUCGGGUGUGAAAUCUCGGAGCUUAACUCCGAAACUGCAUUCGAUACUGCCGUGCUUGAGGACUGGAGAGGAGACUGGAAUUUACGGUGUAGCGGUGAAAUGCGUAGAUAUCGUAAGGAAGACCAGUGGCGAAGGCGGGUCUCUGGACAGUUCCUGACGCUGAGGAACGAAGGUCAGGGGAGCAAACGGG